GGUGGAGGGGAUUUGUAUUUGUAAACUGGGGGUGGUGGAGAGGGGUACUUGUACGGUGGCGGUGGAGGAGAUGGGUACUUGUAUGGUGGUGGAGGUGAUUUGUACUUGUAAACUGGCGGUGGAGGAGAUGGGUACUUGUAUGGUGGUGGUGGUGGAGAAGGAUACUUGUAGGGUGGAGGUGGAGACUUAUACUUGUAAACCGGUGGUGGU